GCAAACGACCGGUUGACGGCGGUGGAAAAACGUCAGCAGGGAAAUGAUGAGGCUCGUGAUUACAAUUGUACGAAAUUGACGUAGUUUAAAAUGUCUGAAGCCAUGAAGAAAUUCACUCCAUUCGAUAAAGGCGUAAAAUUGGUGUCAAAACCAAGCGAUAUCGAUGAAUAUGAUGAUGAUCCGGGUGUUUUAAGGACUCAGCUGUCCUGCGGACAUGUCACCGAUCCAGAGACACUGACUGAUUGUUGCAGAACUCAACUGGAAAAUGGACAGACUAAAUUCAGAUGUCCUUUGUGCAAGAAAGAAUGGCCAUAUGAUGAAGUGCGUAAACUGGCUAAGCUUACAAUUGAUGAACAAUUCAGUUUUGAGGAAAAGCUUGGGACAAACACCGUUAAGAAGUAUUUGGACUUCAGGGAUUGUCCUGGAUGUGGUAGUUUAAUUGAAAGAUCAGAUGAUUCCAAUCUCUGCGUACUGUGCUCAGUUUGCACAGUGAAGACUGGACGACUCUUUGAAUUCUGUUGGCAGUGUGAGAGAGAGUGGAAAGGGCCUCGACCUCAUACUGAUCAUUGUGGUAAUGUGGGAUGUAAAAGUGCUGACCAGGAUCUGCUGAGGACCUGUCCAAUAAUUACUUUAACAUCCGUUGUAUAUAAGGGGUCCAAUGUUCAUGUACAGUGUCCAGCAAUUCGUGCCUGCCCAUUUUGUGGUGUAUUAAUAGAACAUAACAAGGGAUGUAAAAUUAUGUCAUGUCGUGAAUGUAUGAAGCAGUUUUGCUUUGCUUGUUUAGAAUCUGCCAGUGACUGCCUAAAAACUUCUACUCAUUUCAUUUCAUGCUCAGCAGGUGUCGCAUCAAGACAAAUUAAGUAAGAUGUCCAACAAAGUUGACAUUUAAAGCAGUGGUGUUUGCCUUAAAUAUAAUUUAAAAAAAAAAAAACAUGUCAAUGGGAUAUUGCAAAUAAAUCUAUACAAUUUCACUAUAUUAAUUUAGCAGACCUCCAAAGCAACUUACAAAAAUGAAAGAAUUUAAUAAUAAUAAUAAUAAUAAAAAUAUUGUAUCUUUGUUUAUGUGGACUUGUUAAAGUGUUUGUAAAAGUGUAUGGUUUCAGCUGUUUUUUGGUAGUUUUUUAUAAGUUGAGAAAUUGUGGUUCAUCAUAAAGCAAGCAUCUAUAUUUUCUGACAUUAUAAUGUACAAUCUAAGUUGAUAUAAUGUAUUUACUUUUUACUCAUUUUUGUAUUUAUACAUCAACAUAAUAACAUCAAAAAAUACAUAAAAUACUGUUGUUUUGUGAUGUCCACACACUCGGUACAGUUAAAAUGUGGCUGUUGAAAAUAAAUGUACGAAUUGGUGAUUUUUGCUAAAAAAAAAAAAAAUUCCAUGCAAUUCUCCGUUCAAUUUCCAUUCUCCCUCUCACUCUAAACCAUGAAAGAUUAUGUGUAAGCUAUGCCAUGUUUAGGUACAAUGCAGGAACCAGCCUGCUAAUUUCUGUACAUAUUUUUUUUAGUUCUACAGCUUGUACAGUACAUUACCUCUUGCCGUAGCACAAUGGUCCCAAACGAUUAGAGCAGGGCUAUUCAAAUCUUACCCUGGAGGGCCAGAGCAUUUCCAAACAAGCGCUCUUAGGAGUACUGCGGUUGCAGAUGAUCUUCUAAUGGCUGAUGCGGUCGAGUUCACCACCACGGACAAGACGACAAAAGAUGAAGGGUUACAAGAAGUUUUGAAACACCUGAUGUGACUUCUUCUCGUGACUUCUCUUUUCUUCAGCAAAUUAAACAGCAUAACUUUGCAAACUAUGUAUUUAUGUUCCUCUGCAAAUCAAUGAAAAUACUCUCCCUCCAUUAAUGUUGCGUCUGAAAGGAAAACUACUACAAAUGCAUAUGUAAUAAGGUCAGUCGCAAAAAUUAUCCACUGUGUCAUUAGUAAGUCCCGUCGCUAACGCCAAAAUGAUGGUUUACGCAGGGGCAAGUUGUUAGUAAAUCUGACACUUAAUGUUUUGAUAGUGUGACAAGUUUUAGUAAUAAAAGAUUUGCUUAUUUGCAGAUCAAUGUAUAUUUGUCUGAAUUCCAAAUGACAAUUCAUAAUAAUGAGCUCUGUUUUCAAACCUCAAGAUAAAUAAACAUGCUUCA